rnacentral:lncRNA from 1 species
AUGCCGGUAGUUGUAGUCAUCCGUCCGCGCGCCCGUGUAUUCGUUGCUGCGGCGGGCCGCACCGCAGUGAGAUUUAUUAACUUUCAUUUAUUUUCCGCGAUGGGUGGAUUCACAUGUUGUGUUCCUGGAUGCUUCAACAACAGUUCGAAACGAAAGGGCCUCGGAUUUUACGUGUUCCCGAAAGAGACGAAGCUUCGGCAGCUUUGGCUGCAGCGUAUCAACAGAGCUGGACAGCGUGGCAAGUUCUCAAAGUUCGUGCCCACAACAGGCCACAGAGUUUGCGGCGAACACUUCGAAGGAGGGAAGAAAACGUAUAUGGUUCGGGUACCGACAGUCUUUCCACUUAAGCAAAAAAUUAUAAAGAAGCGUCGACAAAUUCAAGUGAAGCGCACUCUACCUGCCAACCGUGUUGAAGUGCAACAGCCACACAGCGAGGAAACAUCAAAUGAUGAAAACAGCACCGACUUGUGCA